rnacentral:lncRNA from 1 species
GAUGAAGGAGAGACGUGGCCAGCUCACUUUAGCUAGUAAGCAGCAGAUUUGAACUCCAGUCUUCUAUUUCCAUUUGAGGAGACUUCAAGUGCACUAGAUGGGGAAAUUGAGACAAACAGGAUGAAGUAACUUGCCUAGAUAGUGAAGCUCUGAAGAUCUCCCAAGUCUACAGAUUUCCCCUGGUUCUUUGGCAAGAUUAAAGAGUAACAGUGGAGAUGGAUGUUGCAGAGAACACAGGAAAAGGUUAGAACUCAAAGG